AGUUCCAGUCUUUGAAAAUGUAAGGGAUAGUUUCAUAGUCUCGCCCUGCCACAGUAAACAGCAUUGCUGUGGACAGUAGAAUCGGUUCAGCUUCCUGGUUUUGAUUUGUACUUAAAAGUGAAAUUGUUGGGUCAUAUGAUGAUUCUAUGUAGCUUUUGGGGAAACUACCAAAUUGUUUUGCAAGGCAGUGGAAACCCCCCUGAGGCAUUCAUCACCUGUGCGUUCACAUUUCUAUACCUCCUGGUCAGCAACUGCAGAAGAUUGUGGGGGAGUCCUGAAUGUUGAGAGAGAAACUCACCAAAGAACUUCCGGUGGUGUUCCAGCUGCUUCCUGUUACUUCAGUGGACUCAUGGUGGUCAACAGAUUCUCGAGGUUUCUUCUAGAUCAAGAUACUGAUGCUGAUUCCUGUUUGGUGUUUUGUUGGUGGUCUGGGCCGCUGACAGAGAUUGGAAUCACCCCAAAGAACUCCUUCUAAACAGAUAAGAAUUUGCUCAGCAAGCACCUGGGAUUCCUGGAACCCUCUCCAUGCAAAUGAGGUGUUCCCGGAACACUAAGCCUCAGCCAAUGAAACUUCACCCUAUGAAGCCUCAACCUAAGAACCCCUUCCCGCUCUCCAAGGUUCAUAUGCAGCCCUUGAUUCACCUGGAAUAAAGUGUAUGUGCACAAGCUGUCCCAUUGAA